CACCUCUUCGUUUUCUCCGAUAUGAAACCUGAAGAAUUGAAAACAUUUGGAUUUAAAAGAAAAGAUUUGACAGUCUAAUCUCAAUCGCAUAAAGUAAAUCAAACCAAACUUCACACAUCUUUCUCUCCGUUCGCCGUCACACAUCUUUCUCUCCGUUCGCCGUCACACAUCUUUCUCUCCGUUCGCCGUCGUCGCUCAUCUGAGAUCUCUCUCUUUACUCACCAAAGAUGCAUUCGAGCCAUCUCCUUCUCGAGGAGCCAAUCAGGAUGGCUUCAAUCCUCAAGCCAUCCAAAUCCGUAAGCGAUCCAUUGAUCCAUAUUCGUAAGAGUUAUCUCUAAUCUCUCUCUCUCUCUCUCUCUCUCUCUCUCUCUCUCUCUCUCUCUCUCUCUCUCUCUCUUUUGAUGUCAUCAGAGUUUCUUUCCGGAAGCUUUGGCAACAAAAUCCAACUGAAAGUCCCAUGUCUCCACGGUUAAAGUGCCGUAGCGAUUGCUGUAAGGUGUGAAGAUAAAUGUCUGUCGAAUAUGAUCUCUGAAUGAAAUCAUGAAGAAGUGUCAGUAUGCCGUAAGUGGUGAGUUUUCCCUAGAAGGAACAUUAUCUUCCCUACCCUCGCAUCUCUAAAAAGCCAUCAGGAUGAAUCACUACUCUGCAUAUACUGAGGAGUCUGGACAAUUAUAUGGGACUGCUUUGGCGUAGGACCUGCUCUAGCUGAAGGGUAGGGAGAUUGAAUAUGACUUCCUGGAACUGAAUAGCCCUGUACCGUUGUAUAACUGUGACCAACAGGGAUGUUUUGAUUCAGUUGCCCGUAUUGGUAGCCUGGUGAGUUAACUGCCCCAGGUACUCCAUAAACCUGAAGGUGCUUACAGUGACUCAAGAGGCCUUCUGGAAGCUAGGAAAGAGGUUGCUGAGUUCAUUGAAUGACUUGAUGGGUAUCCCAGUGAUCCAAAACUCAUAUUCUCCACUGAUGGAGCUAGCUAAGGUGUGAAACAAAUCUUAAACUGUGCUAUACGCAGUGAGGGAGACAUGCAAUAUGAAGAAGAGCAGGAGAGUGCAAGUGCCACCAAGAAGCUUCACCAGAAAAGGCAAUUCAUCACAAUUUAAGUAGAAAAAAUAUGAAGUAUGAUCAGAAGAAAUAAGGUGAUGAUGUGAUGAAUGCAUGUCUUAUAUGCCCUCAAGAGAUGGAUGCAGCAGAUCUAAGCUUCUUACCAUGUCCUUGCAGAUUUUGUCUAUAUCUCUUCUCCUCUAUGCAGAUCAACCAAAACGAUGGACGUAGCCCACGACUCUGAGCUUCCCCAAACAAGUAUGAGAAGACAAGUAGUAAAAGUGCUUUAUGUUUUAGUUAUUUCCUUAGUAUCUCAGUUGCACAUAGCAUGUUGUUUGUCAAUAGAGUUUGUGUCAGUGACGUUGUUGCAUCUUUUGAAACUUUAAAGCUUAAUAAAAGUGAAAGAUCGUUGAUAUGUUAUCGAUGAAGUCGAAUGAAUGUUGCUACCAUUUAUCUUUUUCUUUAAAAUCAAAUCAAAUGGGUUGAUUGUC